rnacentral:rRNA from 1 species
AACGAACGCUGGCGGCAUGCCUAACACAUGCCAGUCGAACGAGACCUUCGGGUCUAGUGGCGCACGGGUGCGUAACGCGUGGGAACCUGCCCUUAGGUUCGGAAUAACUCCCCGAAAGGGGUGCUAAUACCGGAUAAUGUCUUCGGACCGAAGAUUUAUCGCCUUUGGAUGGGCCCGCGUUGGAUUAGCUAGUUGGUAGGGUAAAAGCCUACCAAGGCGACGAUCCAUAGCUGGUCUGAGAGGAUGAUCAGCCACACUGGGACUGAGACACGGCCCAGACUCCUACGGGAGGCAGCAGUGGGGAAUAUUGGACAAUGGGCGAAAGCCUGAUCCAGCAAUGCCGCGUGAGUGAUGAAGGCCUUAGGGUUGUAAAGCUCUUUUACCCGGGAUGAUAAUGACAGUACCGGGAGAAUAAGCUCCGGCUAACUCCGUG